rnacentral:snRNA from 1 species
AUUCUUGGGCUUGGGGCAAUGACCCAGCUAGUGAGGUAUUAACCGAGACGCGUCUAUUAUUGGUUGAAAACUAUUUCCAAACCCCCUUUUCGGUUUGGUCUUUGUCUAAGCUGUAGAGAAUUUCUGGAAGGGCUCCCUCAAGGAUAAAGUC